rnacentral:rRNA from 1 species
GAUCAUGACUCAGAUUGAACGCUGGCGGCAGGCCUAACACAUGCAAGUCGAACGGUAACAGGAAGAAGCUUGCUUCUUUGCUGACGAGUGGCGGACGGGUGAGUAAUGUCUGGGAAACUGCCUGAUGGAGGGGGAUAACUACUGGAAACGGUAGCUAAUACCGCAUAACGUCGCAAGACCAAAGAGGGGGACCUUCGGGUCCGUCUUGCCAUCGGAUGUGCCCAGAUGGGAUUAGCUUGUUGGG